GAAAAGUUUGAUAUCCCAACCUCCAACACAACCCUGACAGUUGCAUAAUAGUGAUUGGGAGCGUACUAUGUCGGCAUCACUUACUUCAAAUGAAGCUGAUUUGGAAGGAUGAUCACCUACCCCAAAUAUGACAACAACACCUCCAACGCGCAAUCCGAAUCCAAACGACAAUAGGAUCUUCAUUCGUCCCAUUGGCACAAAAGCGUUUGAACCUUGCAGUGGGCAUAAAACUUAUCAUAGAAAGCAUCACCCGGUACUUCCCCGAGGCUGUCAAGACGUACAACGGUGCGCCUCAAAGAAUGAAAGAUAUGUGGUUUAAUGAAUUUAAGAAAGCUUGUAAGUGGAAUCCAGAAGAUGAAGCGGCCAUCCAGAAUAUAUAUCAUAAAAAAGCUGCCAGAAGACUUUCUGACAAAUUGGGACAGGUGCGCGUCAAAUUAGCAAAUGGUGAAUCACCACCGCUAUGGAUGUCUGCUCCGGUUCUGGCUCAGUAUCACAGCAUUUAGGACAAGGAAGAAUU